GUGCUCGCUUCGGCAGCACAUAUACUAAAAUUGGAACGAUACAGAGAAGAUUAGCAUGGCCCCUGCACAAGGAUGACACCCAAAUCUAAUAGCUGUCAUAUAAUACA
ensembl:snRNA U6 U6 spliceosomal RNA